rnacentral:rRNA from 1 species
GCUGAAAAGUUAGCUAAGAAACAAAAUGUGGAAAACACCAUUUACCCCCAUUUUCUAAACACACAAAAUUAAACUAAACCAUUCUUCUACCUUAGUACGGGCGACGGAAAAGGCAUUUUUAAGCAAUAGAAAAAGUACCGCAAGGGAAAACUGAAAAAGAAAUGAAAUAACCCAUUUAAGCCCCACAAAGCAAAGACUAAAUCUUGUACCUUUUGCAUCAUGAUUUAGCUAGCCAUGCUUGGGCAAAGAGAACUUCAGUCCAAGACCCCGAAACCAAGUGAGCUACCCCGGGACAGCCAAAUAGGGCCAACCCGUCUCUGGGGCAAAAGAGUGGGAAGAUCCCCGGGUAGAGGUGACAAGCCUACCGAACUUGGUGAUAGCUGGUUGCCUAAGAAAUGAAUAGAAGUUCAGCCUCAUACCCCUCCUAUCACAAAUCAAAUAAAAAUGAAUCAGAGAGAAAUAUGAGAGUUAGUCAAAAGAGGUACAGCCCAUUUGACGUAGGACACAACCUUCUACAGGAGAUUAAGGACUAUAUUUUGUAAGAUUACCGCUUCAGUGGGCCUAAAAGCAGCCAUCUGUAUAGAAAGCGUUAAAGCUCAGGCAGAAAAACAAUCCAUUAUCCUAGUACUGACUCCAAAAUCCCUAAAUAUAUUAGGCCUUUCCAUGCAACCAUGGAAGAGACCCUGCUAAAACGAGUAAUAAGAAGAAACCUCUUCUCCCGGCCUAUGUGUAAGUCAGAUCGGACCAACCACUGAUAAUUAACGAACUCAAUUAAAGAGAGAAAUGUGACUACAACAAAUUACCAAGAAGAACUCACAAAUCCAAAUCGUUAACCCCACACUGGCAUGCCACCUUGGGAAAGACUUAAAGAAAGGAAAGGAACUCGGCAAACAAUUAAAGCCUCGCCUGUUUACCAAAAACAUCGCCUCCUGCAAAACCUCAAUGUAUAGGAGGUCUUACCUGCCCAGUGACAAAGUUUAACGGCCGCGGUAUCUUGACCGUGCUAAGGUAGCGCAAUCACUUGUUUUUUAAAUGAAGACCUGUAUGAAUGGUGAAACGAGGGCUUAACUGUCUCCCCUCUCUAGUCAAUGAAACUGACCUGCUCGUGCAGAGGCGAGCAUAAAUAUACAAGACGAGAAGACCCUUUGGAGCUUUAGACAUAAGGUUAACUGUGCUUAAGACCAAACAAAAUGGAAUAAAAUAAACAACAACUAACCAGAGUCUUCGGUUGGGGCGACCAUGGGGAAAAACAAAACCCCCACGUGGAACGGGCCAUACCCCUAAGCCAAGAGAAAUAUCUCAAAGCAACAGAACAUCUGACCAUAAAGAUCCGGCCAACAAGCCGAUCAACAGACCAAGUUACCCUAGGGAUAACAGCGCAAUCCCCUUCAAGAGUCCAUAUCGACAAGGGGGUUUACGACCUCGAUGUUGGAUCAGGACAUCCUAAUGGCGCAGCCGCUAUUAAGGGUUCGUUUGUUCAACGAUUAAAGUCCUACGUGAUCUGAGUUCAGACCGGAGUAAUCCAGGUCAGUUUCUAUCUGUAAUGCUAUUUUCUCUAGUACGAAAGGACCGAGAAAAUAAGGCCCAUGCUCUCAGUACGCCUUUCUCCAACUUUAUGAAACCAGCUAAAUAAAACAAAGGACGAGCAGAAUUCUGCCUCGAGAUAAGAGGUAAA